CUAUUGUGAUCAAGGUCAAGUAUGGAGAGACACUUAGACGAUUCAAUGCCCGUGUUGCUGAUGAUAAACUUGGUCUUAACAUAGAUGGAUUAAAAGACAAGAUCUUUAAACUUUUCAACUUUCCUCCCGACAGUGAACUUACACUGACAUACAUUGAUGAGGAUGGUGAUGUUGUAACACUUGUUGAUGACGAUGAUCUGCAGGAUAUCACGAGGCAGGACCUGGAUCCCCUGCGAAUAUCUGUGACAUUAAACUCUGAAAAACUUAGUAUAUCUUCAGGUACAUCAAGUGGAAAUUCUACUUCCGUCAGGGCCCCACCUACAUUUCCGAACAUAAAUUCGAGUGUUUCGGAUCUUCUCAAGUCAUUGCCAAAGUCAAAAAGCAAAAAAAUCCUAAAGCACUCUGCAGAUAUGGCGUCUAAAGCCUCAUCAGCUGCCCGAGAAAUUGCUGAGCUUUCCAAAGCUCUCUCUGUGACUAGCUUAUCCUACUUAAAGCAGGCUUGUCCAGUAUCGGGAGUCCCUAUGGGUAGUGUUAAAAGUGGAGAGCCAUCUCAAGCAGCGAAUCCUGAGGAGCUGACCGUUAAAACUGCAGGACGACCCAAAAGUCAUACUGUAUCCAUAAAUGCAUCAGAAUUGAAAUCCUCCCAACCAGAUCAAAACGGAAUUCAGUGUGAACCAUUAUCAAAAAGUCCUAAGCGUAACUCAUCUCUGGUAGACGGUAAGAAGGAAGAGGGUAACAAAUUUGGUGAUUCCCAUCUUGUUGGGAAGGCUCUUGGUAAUUCAGAUCCUAGUGCCUCAACCACUGGCCCAAAAAAGACAGCUGAUAAACAGCAAACUGAGAAUCACCCUGGUGCUGAGCCUGUUGGUGUUGUUGGUUUAUCUGGGAAGCUUUCUGGUGGUUUUAGAUCCCCAAUUUCAUAUUGGAUGCCUAUGGUGCCCGUGUCAAAUGACACUAUCCAACCUCAAUACUCUACUUUCCGGAUCCCAGUUAAAAGGAGCCAUAAUCACAGUG
rnacentral:misc_RNA from 1 species